rnacentral:rRNA from 1 species
GUCUGGCCUGCCCACUGAAAGUGUUUUUAAAGGGCCGCGGUAUUUGAACCGUGCUAAGGUAGCUUAAUCAGUAGUCUCUUAAUUGGGGUCUAGAAUGAAUGGUCUGACGUAAUAUCUCUUGUCUCGAACGAAUAUAUUUUGAAUUUUACUUCUAAGUGAAAAGGCUUAGAUUGGCCAGAGGGACGAUAAGACCCUAUGAAGCUUUAUACUUUAUUUUUCUUUUAUUAUAUAGUUUUGUGGUGGUUGUUAGAUAAAUAGAGUAUUGUGUUGGGGCGAUUGGGAUAUAAAAAGUAACUGUUCUUUAUUUUAAAAUAUUUUUAUUUAGGAGAGUUGAUCCUUUAGUAUGGAUUAAAAGAUUUAAGUUACUCUAGGGAUAACAGCGUAAUUUUUUUUGAGAGUUCUAAUCGACAAAAGAGUUUGCGACCUCGAUGUUGAAUUAAGAUUUCGUCAAGGUGUAGGUGUUUUGAUAGUAGGUCUGUUC